UACGUAGGGGGCUAGCGUUGUCCGGAAUCAUUGGGCGUAAAGCGCGUGUAGGCGGCCCGGUAAGUCCGCUGUGAAAGUCCAGGGCUCAACCCUGGGAUGCCGGUGGAUACUGUCGGGCUGGAGUCCGGAAGAGGCGAGUGGAAUUCCUGGUGUAGCGGUGAAAUGCGCAGAUAUCAGGAGGAACACCAAUGGCGAAGGCAGCUCGCUGGGACGUGACUGACGCUGAGACGCGAAAGCGUGGGGAGCAAACAGG
rnacentral:rRNA from 1 species